rnacentral:rRNA from 1 species
UGCAAGUCGAGCGAAUCGAUGGGGAGCUUGCUCCCUGAGAUUAGCGGCGGACUUGUGAGUAACACGUGGGCAACCUGCCUAUAAGACUGGGAUAACUUCGGGAAACCGGAGCUAAUACCGGAUACGUUCUUUUCUCGCAUGAGAGAAGAUGGAAAGACGGCCUCUAGCUGUCACUUAUAGAUGGGCCCGCGGCGCAUUAGCUAGUUGGUGAGGUAAUGGCUCACCAAGGCGACGAUGCGUAGCCGACCUGAGAGGGUGAUCGGCCACACUGGGACUGAGACACGGCCCAGACUCCUACGGGAGGCAGCAGUAGGGAAUCUUCCGCAAUGGACGAAAGUCUGACGGAGCAACCCCGCGUGAACAAAAAAGGCCUUCGGGUCGUAAAGUUCUGUUGUUAGGGAAGAACAAGUACCAGUGUAACUGCUUGUACCUUGAGGGUACCUAACCAGAAAGCCACGGCUAACUACGUGCCAGCAGCCGCGGUAAUACGUAGGUGGCAAGCGUUGUCCGAAAUUAUUGGGCGUAAAGCGCCCCCAGGUGGUUUCUUAAGUCAGAUGUGAAAGCCCACGGCUCAACCGUGGAGGGUCAUUGGAAACUGGGGAACUUGGGUGCAGAAGAAGAAAGUGGAAUUCCAAGUGUAGCGGUGAAAUGCUUAGAGAUUUGGAGGAACACCAGUGGCGAAGGCGACUUUUCUGGGUCUGUAAACUGACACUGAG